AGUGAACGUUGGCGGCGUGGAUUAGGCAUGCGAGUCGAGCGAGAACCGUAGCAAUACGGGGACAGCGGCGAAAGGGACAGUAAUAUGUAGGUACCUACCCUCGGGUCCGGGAUAGCUGCGGGAAACUGCAGGUAAUACCGGAUGACAUCUCCGGAUCAAAGGUGUGAUUCCGCCCGGGGAGGGGCCUGCAUCCUAUUAGCUUGUUGGUGGGGUAACGGCCUACCAAGGCGACGAUGGGUAGCGGGUGGGAGAGCAUGACCCGCGUCAUUGGGACUGAGACACUGCCCAGACACCGACGGGUGGCUGCAGUCGAGAAUCUUCGGCAAUGGGGGCAACCCUGGCCGAGCGACGCCGGGUGCGGGAUGUAGGCCUUCGGGUUGUAAACCGCUGUCGUAGAGGAGGAAAUGCAGGGGGGUUCUCCCCUCUGUUUGACCUAUUCUAGGAGGAAGGACGGGCUAAGUUCGUGCCAGCAGCCGCCGCGG
rnacentral:rRNA from 1 species